rnacentral:snoRNA from 1 species
UGGAAGUGAUGAAAUAGAGAUAAUUGGAUGUCUUAUUGAAUGGAGUAUGUGUGAUAAAUGGAAUUCAAACUGAGUCAAGCUGGGGGUGGGGGGUGGGGAAUGUGUGUGUGUGUGUGUGUGUGUGUGUGUGCGUGCAUGUAUAGAAAAGGCUUUGAAUGGGGGCACUGAUAAUGCAGUGCUGAUUCCGGAGUGCAUCUGAGGCAUGUUGUUAACUUCCAGGGUGCCACUUUACAACAUUGCCGAUGAUUAAAGCCCAAAACAAGCCCACCAAGACAAGCCUAAGCAUCCUUAAUCUCUAACAGGUUCAUGAAUGAAAGUGAUCCUGUGAUCUGAUCCAA